GAUGAACGCUGGCGGCGUGCCUAAUACAUGCAAGUCGAGCGAACGGACGAGAAGCUUGCUUCUCUGAUGUUAGCGGCGGACGGGUGAGUAACACGUGGAUAACCUACCUAUAAGACUGGGAUAACUUCGGGAAACCGGAGCUAAUACCGGAUAAUAUUUUGAACCGCAUGGUUCAAAAGUAAAAGACGGUCUUGCUGUCACUUAUAGAUGGAUCCGCGCUGCAUUAGCUAGUUGGUAAGGUAACGGCUUACCAAGGCAACGAUGCAUAGCCGACCUGAGAGGGUGAUCGGCCACACUGGAACUGAGACACGGUCCAGACUCCUACGGGAGGCAGCAGUAGGGAAUCUUCCGCAAUGGGCGAAAGCCUGACGGAGCAACGCCGCGUGAGUGAUGAAGGUCUUCGGAUCGUAAAACUCUGUUAUUAGGGAAGAACAUAUGUGUUAGUAACUGUGCACAUCUUGACGGUACCUAAUCAGAAAGCCACGGCUAACUACGUG
rnacentral:rRNA from 1 species